CAAUAGCGUAUAUUAAAGUUGUUGCGGUAAAAAAGCUCGUAGUUGGAUUUCUACCGAAGAUAGCCGGUCGGGUCUUCGACCUUGUAUCUGGUUUUGUCUUAGGUAUCCUCAUAGGGAACGUUUCUGCGCUUUAUUGCGUGGUGCGGUAUCUAUGACUUUUACUUUGAGGAAAUUAGAGUGUUCACGGCAGGCAAACGCCUUGAAUAUAUUAGCAUGGAAUAAUAACAUAGGAUCUUCGUCCUAUUUUGUUGGUUUCUAGGGCUAAGAUAAUGAUUAAUAGGGAUAAUUGGGGGCAUCUGUAUCAACGCGUCAGAGGUGGAAUUCUUGGAUUGCGUUGCGACAAACUACUGCGAAAGCAUUUGCCAAGGAUGUUUUCAUUGA
rnacentral:rRNA from 1 species